rnacentral:rRNA from 1 species
GAUGAACGCUGGCGGCGUGCCCAAUACAUGCAAGUCGAGCGAAUGGAUUAAGAGCUUGCUCUUAUGAAGUUAGCGGCGGACGGGUGAGUAACACGUGGGUAACCUGCCCAUAAGACUGGGAUAACUCCGGGAAACCGGGGCUAAUACCGGAUAACAUUUUGAACCGCAUGGUUCGAAAUUGAAAGGCGGCUUCGGCUGUCACUUAUGGAUGGACCCGCGUCGCAUUAGCUAGUUGGUGAGGUACCGGCUCACCAAGGCAACGAUGCGUAGCCGACCUGAGAGGGUGAUCGGCCACACUGGGACUGAGACACGGCCCAGACUCCUACGGGAGGCAGCAGUAGGGAAUCUUCCGCAAUGGACGAAAGUCUGACGGAGCAACGCCGCGUGAGUGAUGAAGGCUUUCGGGUCGUAAAACUCUGUUGUUAGGGAAGAACAAGUGCUAGUUGAAUAGCUGGCACCUUGACGGUACCUAACCAGAAAGCCACGGCUAACUACGUGCCAGCCGCCGCCGUAA